GCAGUGUUGGUUUGGUGGUAGAAUUCUCACCUUCCAUGCAGGAGACCUGGGUUCGGUUCCCAGCCAGUGCA
rnacentral:tRNA from 1 species